UACGGAGGGAGCUAGCGUUGUUCGGAAUUACUGGGCGUAAAGCGCACGUAGGCGGCUUUGCAAGUUAGAGGUGAAAGCCUGGGGCUCAACCCCAGAAUUGCCUUUAAGACUGCAUCGCUUGAAUCCGGGAGAGGUGAGUGGAAUUCCGAGUGUAGAGGUGAAAUUCGUAGAUAUUCGGAAGAACACCAGUGGCGAAGGCGGCUCACUGGACCGGUAUUGACGCUGAGGUGCGAAAGCGUGGGGAGCAAACAGG
rnacentral:rRNA from 1 species